CAGCCGCCACGGUAAUACGUAGGUGGCGAGCGUUGUCCGGAAUUAUUGGGCGUAAAGGGAGCGCAGGCGGGCGAGUAAGUCUUUCUUAAAAGUGCGGGGCUCAACCCCGUGAGGGGAGAGAAACUACUCAUCUUGAGUGCAGGAGAGGAAAGCGGAAUUCCUAGUGUAGCGGUGAAAUGCGUAGAUAUUAGGAAGAACACCAGUGGCGAAGGCGGCUUUCUGGACUGUAGCUGACGCUGAGGCUCGAAAGCCAGGGGAGCGAACGGGAUUAGAUACCCGAGUAGUCCCUGUCUCUUAUACC
rnacentral:rRNA from 1 species